rnacentral:rRNA from 1 species
CAGUAGCCACGGUAAUACGAAGGGGGCUAGCGUUGUUCGGAAUCACUGGGCGUAAAGCGCACGUAGGCGGACACUUAAGUCAGAGGUGAAAUCCCAAGGCUCAACCUUGGAACUGCCUUUGAUACUGGGUGUCUUGAGUUCGGGAGAGGUGAGUGGAACUGCGAGUGUAGAGGUGAAAUUCGUAGAUAUUCGCAAGAACACCAGUGGCGAAGGCGGCUCACUGGCCCGAUACUGACGCUGAGGUGCGAAAGCGUGGGGAGCAAACAGGAUUAGAUACCCCGGUAGUCCCUGUCUCUUAUAC